GACGAACGCUGGCGGCGUGCCUAAUACAUGCAAGUAGAACGCUGAAGGAGGAGCUUGCUUCUCCGGAUGAGUUGCGAACGGGUGAGUAACGCGUAGGUAACCUGCCUGGUAGCGGGGGAUAACUAUUGGAAACGAUAUCUAAUACCGCAUAACAGUAGAUGUUGCAUGACAUUUGCUUAAAAGGUGCAAUUGCAUCACUACCAGAUGGACCUGCGUUGUAUUAGCUAGUUGGUGAGGUAACGGCUCACCAAGGCGACGAUACAUAGCCGACCUGAGAGGGUGAUCGGCCACACUGGGACUGAGACACGGCCCAGACUCCUACGGGAGGCAGCAGUAGGGAAUCUUCGGCAAUGGACGGAAGUCUGACCGAGCAACGCCGCGUGAGUGAAGAAGGUUUUCGGAUCGUAAAGCUCUGUUGUAAGAGAAGAACGAGUGUGAGAGUGGAAAGUUCACACUGUGACGGUAUCUUACCAGAAAGGGACGGCUAACUACGUG
rnacentral:rRNA from 1 species